UUAUGGUUCAUGUUUUAUGUAGAAAUAUUUAUUAAAUUCAAAUUAUUGUUAAGGGUUGAUAGGAAGGCUAUUAAAAAUAUUAAAUUGCAAAACAGUUUUACAGUUAACAUGCUUUAUACAAUAUGAGUUUCUCACAGCUCAAAGUAAUUUUGAUUCUACGAUUCUAUGCAGUUUUUUAAAAGGAUAUAUUAUGAGCAGAGAUAAUGAAUUACAUUAAAAAAAAAUCAAAAUUGUUGUCCAUUGCACUUCACUAUGAAUGUGAUUUAUGGUAUUAAUUUUUUUUUAAAAUCAGAAUAAAAAGCUGAUCUAAAAAAAAAUGAGAUCUAAAUUAAAGAUUCACAUUCAUAUUCAUACUUUUGGGAGUAAAUUAUCAAUUUUGUUUGCGAGUACCAACAAAAUGCAUUUACUUACCUGUUACUGUCAGGUUUGUCAUGUUUUAUUUCAGGAAAUUGAACAUACAUUGUAAACAGUCAUGAACAUUAAGUCAGGUUGAUGAUAUUGUUAUUGUCUUAUUAAUAUAUUUUUUGUCCAAUGUAUGAGUCACAGAUUAUAUAUUAUUUCUUGCAAAUACAGACACCAAAACAUUUUUUUUUCUAAUUAUACUAAAAAUAUGUAUGCAACGCAUUUCUUACUCUACCAUCUUUCAAAACUUUUCUGUCAUACUUUUUUAUACAUUGAAGAACUGGUCUGCUUGUUCAUGUUAUAUUUUUUAAAAGGUUAUUUUGGAGGUAAUUGCAAACAAGUUAAUGUUUUAAACUGCUAUGUUAUGGAUACAUGUUCCAACUGAAUAUUGUGCAAUAUAAUUUGAUGUAAAACAUCACCAAUACGGUAAUAAAAUUCAUUCCUUCC
rnacentral:sRNA from 1 species